UGGGGAAUUUUGGACAAUGGGCGAAAGCCUGAUCCAGCAAUGCCGCGUGUGUGAAGAAGGCCUUCGGGUUGUAAAGCACUUUUGUCCGGAAAGAAAUCCUUGGCUCUAAUACAGUCGGGGGAUGACGGUACCGGAAGAAUAAGCACCGGCUAACUACGUGCCAGCAGCCGCGGUAAUACGUAGGGUGCAAGCGUUAAUCGGAAUUACUGGGCGUAAAGCGUGCGCAGGCGGUUUGCUAAGACCGAUGUGAAAUCCCCGGGCUCAACCUGGGAACUGCAUUGGUGACUGGCAGGCUAGAGUAUGGCAGAGGGGGGUAGAAUUCCACGUGUAGCAGUGAAAUGCGUAGAGAUGUGGAGGAAUACCGAUGGCGAAGGCAGCCCCCUGGGCAAAUACUGACGCUCAUGCACGAAAGCGUGGGGAGCAAACAGGAUUAGAUACCCUGGUAGUCCACGCCCUAAAACGAUGUCAACUAGUUGUUGGGGAUUCAUUUCCUUAGUAACGUAGCUAACGCGUGAAGUUGACCGCCUGGGGAGUACGGUCGCAAGAUUAAAACUCAAAUGAAUUGACGGGGUCAUAGCUGUUUCCU
rnacentral:rRNA from 1 species